UACGAAGGGGGCUAGCGUUGUUCGGAUUUACUGGGCGUAAAGCGCACGUAGGCGGAUCUUUAAGUCAGAGGUGAAAUCCCAAGGCUCAACCUUGGAACUGCCUUUGAUACUGGGGAUCUUGAGUCCGGGAGAGGUGAGUGGAACUGCGAGUGUAGAGGUGAAAUUCGUAGAUAUUCGCAAGAACACCGGUGGCGAAGGCGGCUCACUGGCCCGGUACUGACGCUGAGGUGCGAAAGCGUGGGGGAGCAAACAGG
rnacentral:rRNA from 1 species